CAGGACGAACGCUGGCGGCGUGCCUAACACAUGCAAGUCGAGCGGGACAUACGACGGAGCAGAAGUUUCGGAUGGAAGCGAAGAUGUAUGUUCUAGCGGCGGACGGGUGAGUAACGCGUGAGCAACCUGUCCUUCACAGGGGGAUAACACAGCGAAAGUUGUACUAAUACCGCAUAAGACCACAUUGGGACAUCCCAGAGGGGUCAAAGGAGCAAUCCGGUGAAGGGUGGGCUCGCGUCCGAUUAGAUAGUUGGUGAGGUAACGGCCCACCAAGUCGACGAUCGGUAGCCGACCUGAGAGGGUGAUCGGCCACAUUGGGACUGAGACACGGCCCAAACUCCUACGGGAGGCAGCAGUGGGGAAUAUUGGGCAAUGGGGGGAAACCCUGACCCAGCAACGCCGCGUGAGGGAAGAAGGUUUUCGGAUCGUAAACCUCUGUCCUUGGUGAAGAGGAAGAGACGGUAGCCAAGGAGGAAGCCCCGGCUAACUACGUGCCAGCCGCUGC
rnacentral:rRNA from 1 species